CCAACCAAGAAGCCAAGAUCUUCUUCACCGUAGCGAUAUCUAAAACAAGGGUUUAUCAUCUUCUUCGGCUUUGACAACCUAAGCCAUUAAUAGAGUUUCAUGAGGUUGAGUGAGAUGAAUCGUCAUGAAGAAUUUAUGGUCCAGUUCGACUGCGUCGUUCCAUCUUAUGACCCUCUCCUCUAGAACGUUACGUGAUUCAUUGAAUCAUUGCCUUUAACAGCCUUCUCAACUCAGCAAGAUAAAACAUUCAAUGCUUCUUAUAUCCCUUCUAGGAGGUGGAUCUCCAUCUAUAAAAAGUUUAAUGCUUCUUAUUCUCAUUCUCACAUUCAUCGAGAAGAAUAAGAUGCCCAUUAAAGAUACUUCGAUCAAUUCGUCUUGCUUUUGGAAGGUCCGAAUGUGAAGAGGAGGUGCGCUCAAGGGUGUUAAGCUCACCAAUGUUUGACAAGAAGACAUUGAAGAAGAAUCGUAUAGAAUUGGAUUUCAGAAUUGCAGAACACAGAAAAAGGUUUUCAACUCUUUACAUUCUCUUUUCCUCGCUUUGUCUCUUACUCCAAAAAAACAAGAAAGUGUCCUUCGUUUUGCUUCUCUCUUGCAGGCACAACACGAGAGAGAGCUGAUAGUUGUGGACUAUAGAAGAUAAUGAUAGGAUUUGUUGCAAAAACAUUGCCAUAGAGAUUAGAGAAUCUCUCAAACACACCAUUUGCCCCACCUGUUGUGAUACUCCUGUUCAUGAAGACUCUUACUUUGAUGAUACUUUAUGAAACCUCUUUCAUACAUUGCGAUUGAUCUUACAGAUUAAACAUCCACUAACGUCUUUUUCUUUGGCAGCUCGAGAGGGCUUCAAGCAUUGCCGCCAAAUCAUGGGAGGCCACUUUCUCAUCUCCACCACUACUAAACCAGAUGCACAUUUCUCCAUUAGAGUUACUCCACAGUGGUCCUUUGCUUGAUUUUAAUCUUCUACCAGUCAAAGCUGCAGAGCUAUUUCCUUCGGUCGUUGCAGAAUCUAAAGCUCUUGAAGUAGUUUCAUCUAGAUUGCGUGGAAAUCACGGAAAUGACUUACAUUUGACAACAACAUGAUCUGAAGGCGGUGGAGUGAUUCCAGAAGAUCAGAGACGUGACCGUUUCUGUUUUGUGUUUUGGAAUCAAUAAGAUUUAAUUCUGUUAAGCCUCUGUGGAAAUAAAAAGAUUAGCUCUGUUUUGCUACACGCACCAAAUGCUACUUUCAAUUAUUAUACG